rnacentral:rRNA from 1 species
UACGUAGGGGGCAAGCGUUGUCCGGAUUUAUUGGGCGUAAAGAGCGUGUAGGCGGCCAUUCAGGUCAGCUGUGAAAACUCGAGGCUCAACCUCGAGACGUCGGUUGAAACCGUUUGGCUAGAGUCCGGAAGAGGAGAGUGGAAUUCCCGGUGUAGCGGUGAAAUGCGCAGAUAUCAGGAGGAACACCGACGGCGAAGGCAGGUCUCUGGGCCACUACUGACGCUGAGAAGCGAAAGCAUGGGGAGCGAACAGG